rnacentral:tRNA from 1 species
GGAGAGAUGGCUCAGUGGUUAAGAGCAAUGACUGUUCUUCCAGAGGUCCUGAGUUCAAUUCCCAGCAACCACA